rnacentral:rRNA from 1 species
UACAGAGGUCCCAAGCGUUGUUCGGAUUCACUGGGCGUAAAGGGUGCGUAGGUGGUGAGGUAAGUCGGAUGUGAAAGCUCGGAGCUCAACUCCGAAAUGGCAUUGGAAACUACCUUGCUCGAGGGUUGGAGGGGGGACUGGAAUGCUUGGUGUAGCAGUGAAAUGCGUAGAUAUCAAGCGGAACACCAGUGGCGAAGGCGAGUCCCUGGACAACUCCUGACACUGAGGCACGAAAGCUAGGGGAGCAAUAGG